UGCGUAGGCGGUCUGUUAAGUUGGAUGUGAAAACUCUGGGCUCAACCCAGAGCCUGCAUCCAAAACUGGCAGGCUAGAGUUCUGGAGGGGGUAGCGGAAUUCCUGGUGUAGCGGUGAAAUGCGUAGAUAUCAGGAGGAACACCGGUGGCGAAGGCGGCUACCUGGACAGAAACUGACGCUGAGGCACGAAAGCUGGGAGCAAACA
rnacentral:rRNA from 1 species